UACGUAGGGUGCGAGCGUUGCCCGGAUUUAUUGGGCGUAAAGAGCUCGUAGGCGGUGUGUCGCGUCGGCCGUGAAAACCUGCAGCUUAACUGUGGGCUUGCGGUCGAUACGGGCAUCACUGGAGUUCGGCGGGGGAGACUGGAAUUCCUGGUGUAGCGGUGAAAUGCGUAGAGAUCGGAAAGAACACCAACGGCGAAAGCACUCUGCUGGGCCGACACUGACACUGAGAGACGAAAGCUAGGGGAGCAAAUGGG
rnacentral:rRNA from 1 species